rnacentral:lncRNA from 1 species
CCAUGUACCGGUGCAUUCAGGAGCUGCAAUCUCCUCUGCCAUUGCAAACUACCAUUCAAGAUGAACAAUAGCCUCAAGAUAAGAAGUCGGCUCAAGAACAGCAGCACCAGCGGUUGAAAAACCAAGGCGAUCAACAGGCGGCAGGACGAGGACGCUAGCCAUAGGUAGGCUGUGCUGAGGAGGACGACACAUCAGUAGACGCAUCCACAUUACGUGAACGACGAGUAUAAUAUUGAGGAAAAGAUGGAAGAAUACGAGGAGGAAUCGUCGAGGUAGAAUGACGGGGUGGAGACGAAGAAGUCGCCGGGGACGAAGGUGCAGAAUCCCGUGACAUGCCAGGUGAGGAAACCGUGGAAGAUGGUGGCGGCGAAUCGAUAAGAGGUGGAGAAGCAGAGUUCGCAGGACGAAGAGACAAAGGCUCAACGGGGGUGAUAGGUAUGACAUGAAAAGUGAGGAAAAAGAUAUCCUCCACUGAAAAGGUCAAGGAAGAUGGACGUGGGUAGAAGGGACGAGACUCAUCAAGAGUCACAUCCCGAGAAAUACGCAUCCGAUGACCGAUAGGAUCCCAACAACGAUAGCCCUUAUGUUCAUCAGUAAUGCGCUCGUCGUUAAGCACAACACGAGCAAGAAGAUCCUGGAUGUACUUUUUUUGAGAUAUAAAAAAGCCAUCAGAGGUAGAAGACACUUCAAUCCCAUGAAAGUGGCGAAGAGGUCCAAGAUCAGACAUAAGAAACUGCUCACUAAGACGGGACUUUACAAAGGCAAUAUACUUAGGGUCGUCGCCAGUGAUGAUCAUGUCGCGAGUGAUGAUCAUGUCAUUGACAUAGAGAAGAAGAAGAGUCCGACCACAAGGUGAAAGUGGACAAACAAUGUUGGAUCAUGAGCACUCGCCGAAAAACUAGCGGCAGUCACCACAGAGGCAAAACGCUCAAACCAGGCGCGGGGUACUUGCUUAAGGCCAUAGAGAGAGCGACGGAGACGACAUACCAUGCCAUCAGGAACAGAAUACCCAUGUGGUGGCUGCAUGUAUACCUCCUCACGCAGAUCACCAUUAAGAAAGGUAUUCUUAACAUCAAGCUGAGAUACAUACCAGUGACGUGCAAAGGCCACGACAAGAAGUGUACGAAUAGCGGUCAUAUGGGCCAGAGGAGCAAAAGUCUUGUCGUAAUCACGAUCAUGCUCCUGUUGAAAGCCACGAGCCACAAGACGAGCUUUGUAACGCUCAAGAGAACCAUCAGAGCGAGUCUUAACCUUGCCAUCGCAAACUACCAUUCAAGAUGAACAAUAGCCUCACGAUAAGAAGUCGGCUCAAGAACAACAACACCAUCGGUUGGAAAACCAAGACGAUCAACAGGCGGAAGCGGACGAGGACGCUAGCCAUAGGUAGGCCGAGAUGAGGAGGACGACACAUCAGUUGACGCAUCCACUUUACGUGAACGACGAGUAUAAUACUGAGGAAAAGAUGGAAGAAUACGAGGAGGAAUCGUCGAGGUAGAAUCAGGGGGUGGAAACGAAGAAGUCACCGGGGAUGAAGGUGCAGAAUCCGGUGACAUGCCAGGUGAGGAAACCGUGGAAGAUGGUGGUGGCGAUCCGAGGGAUCACUAGCCCACGUAGCAUCCGAAUAGGCCCGAAGCUGUAAAGAACUGGAGCGAGGAAAGAAUAGAUGGUGAGAGAUCGUGCCUCAAAGAUAUAGUGAACCGAAGUGGGAGCAGAGACACAAACUGACUCAGAAUAUGAACCAGAUAAGAGAUAUCAGGACGAGUGACAACUAGAUAGACAAGAUUCCCAACAAGAUGACGAUAACACGUUGGAUCAGGCAAGGGGUCACCGUCAGUAUCACGGAGGUGAAUAUUCAGCUCCAUGGGUGUCUCAACAAUGCGCUCAUCAGUGGGAGCAGCACGAGCAAGAAGAUCCUGGAUAUACUUUUCCUGAGAUAUAAAAAAGCCAUCAGAGGUAGAAGAGACUUGAAUCCCAAGAAAGUAGCGAAGAGGUCCAAGAUCAGACAUAAGAAACUGCUCACUAAGACGGGCCUUUACAAAGGUAAUAUACUCGGGGUCGUCGCCAGUGAUGAUCGUGUCAUUGACAUAGAGAAGAAGAGUCCGAGCACGAGGUGAAAGAUGGACAAACAAUGCUGGAUCAUGAGCACUCGCUAAAAAACCAGCGAUGGUCACCGCAGAGGCAAAACGCUAAAACCAGGCGCGGGGGGGGGGGGGGGGCCUUGCUUAAGGCCAUAGAGAGAGAGCGACGAAGACGACAUACCAUGCCAUCAAGAGCAGAAUACCCAGGUGGUGGCUGCAUGUAUACCUUCUCACACAGCUCACCAUUAAGAAAGGCAUUCUUAACAUCAGGCAGAGAUACAGACCAGUGGCGUGCAAAGGCCACGACAAGAGGUGUACGAAUAGUGGUCAUAUGGGCCAGAGGAACAAAUGUCUUGUCGUAAUCAUGAUCAUGCUCCUGCUGAAAGCCACGAGCCACAAAACGAUCUUUGUAACGCUCAAGAGAACCAUCAGAGCGAGUCUUAACCUUAGACCCACUUACAAGUGAUGGAACGGACACCUGGAGGAAGAGAAACAAGAUCCCAUGUACCGGUGCAUUCAGGAGCUGCAAUCUCCUCUGCCAUUGCAAACUACCAUUCAAGAUGAACAAUAGCCUCAAGAUAAGAAGUAGGCUCAAGAACAGCAGCACCAGCGGUUGAAAAACCAAGGCGAUCAACAGGCGGCAGGACGAGGACGCUAGCCAUAGGUAGGCUGUGAUGAGGAGGACGACACAUCAGUAGACGCAUCCACAUUACAUGAACGACGAGUAUAAUAUUGAGGAAAAGAUGGAAGAAUACGAGGAGGAAUCGUCGAGGUAGAAUGACGGGGUGGAGACGAAGAAGUCGCCGGGGACGAAGGUGCAGAAUCCCGUGACAUGCCAGGUGAGGAAACCGUGGAAGAUGGUGGCGGCGAAUCGAUAAGAGGUGGAGAAGCAGAGUUAGCAGGACGAAGAGACAAAGGCUCAACGGGGGUGAUAGGUAUGUCAGGAAAAGUGAGGAAAAAGAUAUCCUCCACUGAAAAGGUCAAGGAAGAUGGACGCGGGUAGAAGGGACGAGACUCAUCAAGAGUCACAUCCCGAGAAAUACGCAUCCGAUGACCGUAGGAUCCCAACAACGAUAGCCCUUAUGUUCAUCAGUAAUGCGCUCGUCGGUAAGAACAACACGAGCAAGAAGAUCCUGGAUGUACUUUUCUCGAGAUAUAAAAAAGCCAUCAGAGGUAGGAGACACUUCAAUCCCAAGAAAGUAGCGAAGAGGUCCAAGAUCAGACAUAAGAAACUGCUCACUAAGACGGGACUUUACAAAGGCAAUAUACUCAGGGUCGUCGCCAGUGAUGAUCAUGUCGCGAGUGAUGAUCAUGUCAUUGACAUAGNNN